rnacentral:rRNA from 1 species
GACGAACGCUGGCGGCAUGCCUAAUACAUGCAAGUAGAAUGCAGUUGCGAACGGGUGAGUAACGCGUAGGUAACCUGCCUCAUAGCGGGGAAUAACUAUUGGAAACGAUAGCUAAUACCGCAUACUGUGAGAUGGACCUGCGUUGUAUUAGCUAGUUGGUGGGGUAAAGGCUCACCAAAGCGACGAUACAUAGCCGACCUGAGAGGGUGAGCGGCCACAUGGGGACUGAGACACGGCCCAGACUCCUACGGGAGGCAGCAGUAGGGAAUUUUGGACAAUGGGGGAAACCCUGAUCCAGCCUUCCCGCGAGUGCGAUGAAGGCCUUCGGGUUGUAAAGCACUUUUGGCAGGAAAGCGGUACCUGCAGAAUAAGCACCGGCUAACUACGUGCCAGCAGCCGCGGUAAUUC